GGGCCGCUGUUGCAGCAAGCUCACCUCUUCACCAGCACCACACCCGCCCACCGACCCCUUUUCCAGAAUCCCAGCGCUCCCCUACCUGUGAGGUCUUGGGUUACCCCGACAGCUCCUCGUGGCUUUCCUUCGCCUCUUGUUGCCGGAGGACUCGAGCGAGCGGUGUCCCCCGCCUCCUCCUGGCGACACGCUUCUGAUGACGCCGCUCUGAUCGCGUUUAGGGCAGGCUGGGAACCGCAGUGCAAACCCGAGAGGUCCAGACAGAGCGGAAGAGCGUCCUUCUGUGCAACUCUCUUGAAGAUGAAGCGAGAGACGGGGAGAACUCCUGCCGCACACGACAGUGGGGAGGGGACAGACACCUAGAAUUAGCCGGGCAAGCCCGAGGAUCGCAGACGAGGAAACAAAACGAACAGCGCAGAAGAGCAAAGGCUCGCUGCUUCUUGCGCGCCUGCUUACUACCGUUCGUCCUCGCUGUCCCUGGUAUUACUUCAGGACUGCGCGCCUCCUCCGCCAGCCAGCGCUCGCGGCUCUACUCAGCUGACUCCUCUCCCCAGCUUAGGAGGCAUCCCCUCCCCCUGGCAUGGGGCUUAAACCCUCCCAUCUCCCCACCUCCCGCUGUUGUUGUACGCAGUCGCAGCCGGCAGCUUCGUGGCGGUGCGUGUACCGGUCUCGCCUGCAGCCGCUGCUAGAAAGCCGGCCGCUCCGGCAACGGGCGAGGGAAGGGCUGUUGCUGCUUCUCACGAAACGAGGACUCGCAGAUACGUUAGCCGUGCCUGCACGACAGUCCUACCUAAUUUUGUUUUGACUCGCAAAUAAGCCCCUUUUUAUUAAAUGCGACCUGUUUCCAAAGUAAGGCUGUACAUUUAUCUGGAAGCCACGCCUCGUUGAAUGUAGUGGGACUUACUUCCGUGUAAACACGUCUAGAAUCCGACUCGACGUUCUGGAUCACGGCCGUGCAGUGUGAUUGUAAGCACUGUAAAUUGUAAGCGUCGUCUGAACUAAGCCUCAAAGGCUUGUGCUAGAGUUAACGCCCAAAUCAUAAUCAAUGCCAGUGGAUGUGCUGAUGGAGCAGUGGAAUGCAGAUGCAUGGGAGGAUUGAGCUUGAAAUAGGGAUACUGUGACUUUGGACUGGAUGAUAACUUGAUGACUUCUUUGAUGUUACCCAUUCCUGGAUUUUCACAGACUUUGAAGCGUGAUAUGGUUGCGUACAGCCUGACUGUGGAAUAUAGAUUCCAGAUGAAGAUAACUUCUUUAUAUAAACAACUAUUUUUGACUUUUUAUGUAUGUGGCAUAUUUCUAAACAUUGACACUAUUACUACUGUAAUGUAUUUUAUAUUUGUAUUUUGAACUUUUUGUAUCCUAUUUUAUUGCUUUUAUAAGUCUACAGUACUGAACAAAGGCAAUUUCUAUGGGAUCAAUGGACUUGGAUAUUGUUGAGGACAUUCUUUUAUACUGUUCAAUGAGCAGAUCAAGUAAUUUGGUAUAUUUGGUU